AUUAGAGUUUGAUCAUGGCUCAGAUUGAACGCUGGCGGCAGGCCUAACACAUGCAAGUCGAGCGGAGAGAGAAGCUUGCUUCUCUUAGGGCGGCGGACGGGUGAGUAAUGCCUAGGAAUCUGCCUGGUAGUGGGGGAUAACGUUCGGAAACGGACGCUAAUACCGCAUACGUCCUACGGGAGAAAGCAGGGGACCUUCGGGCCUUGCGCUAUCAGAUGAGCCUAGGUCGGAUUAGCUAGUUGGUGAGGUAAUGGCUCACCAAGGCGACGAUCCGUAACUGGUCUGAGAGGAUGAUCAGUCACACUGGAACUGAGACACGGUCCAGACUCCUACGGGAGGCAGCAGUGGGGAAUAUUGGACAAUGGGCGAAAGCCUGAUCCAGCCAUGCCGCGUGUGUGAAGAAGGUCUUCGGAUUGUAAGCACUUUAAGUUGGGAGGAAGGGCAGUUACCUAAUACGUGAU
rnacentral:rRNA from 1 species